rnacentral:lncRNA from 1 species
AGCGUAUGAAAAUGCCAAGUUAUUAAAGAAAAAGUAAAAACAUGGCAUGAUAAGAGAAUCCAGAAGCAUGAGUUUACAGUUGGAGAAUAUAUUCGUUUGUACAACUCUCGUUUCAGAUUCUUCACAUGCAAACUCUCUCCAUAUGGGAAGGACCAUACGUUACUGAGGAGGUUUAUCGAUCUGGAGCCAUCAAAAUAAAUAAUGCCGAAGGUACUAACCCAAAGGUUGUCAACAGGAAAAGAAUAAAACAUUAUAUCUCAGGUAGGACCAUUAAUGUUGAAAGUAAUAUUAUCCAAACCAUGACACCGGAAGAACACAUAAAGGAAACCUUCUGGAAUACUCCAGAAUCGUUAAAAAAGAGGAGGUAUGUGAUACGGUAAGUAAACGGACUCCGAAAAAUCCAAAAAAAUAUAUUUUUGUCAGUUUUGCAAUAUAUUAAAAAUUGGGAAAAUUAGAAACAACGAAGAAGACAUCCCUGGUGGGCACAAGACACCAGGAUGCGCCUGGCAAGCCAGACGCGCCCAGGUGGGAUGUGCCCACCUCGGGUACCUUCAGGUGUCACACCCUAGCUAGUUCAUGCAUUAGAGUGUUGCAUCAUGUUUAUUCUUUCAUCAGAAACCUGAAAUGGGGAUGACAGAACCCCCAGCCCCCUCUGAAACCAAUUACGGUUUACUAAAAAACUUUUUCAAUGAACCUGAAAUGCCCUUCUAAAAUGCCCAUCAUUUUUGUCUUGGUUCAGAUCCUCUGCCAAAAGUGAUGCACAUUUUCCUAGGCCAUCUUAGGGUUUUUGAAUUAAAUCAUAAAUAUUUGAAUUUGGGCAUUUAAAAUUAUAUAGAAUAUUUAAAUGCUCAAAUAUCUCCAAACUAAAAUGUUUCAUGUUGGAAAUAAUCCAACUAUGGACCAGGAGUAGUUUGGUGAUUUUAGGAGUUGCCUAAGUAUUUUUAAUAAAUCAACAAAGUUGCAGAAGUAUUAAAAAACAGAAAACAGUAAAAAUAGAAAAACUUACCUGGUGCCAGCUCCCGGCCCACCUGCCGGCCUAGCCCAGCGCCGCUCCAGCGAGCUGCUUGCCGGCCAGGCAGGCAGGCAGGUGCCCGACGGCGACCGCAGCGCGCGCCACGCAGCUGGCUGCCGCCCUGCUCCACCUCCUCGCCUCGGGGCUGGAUGGAUGAGCUCUACGCAGCACCGUGAACCCGCAGGACACCUCCAUUCUCCCCCAACCCCUCUCUCUCGCGCUCCCCCACCAUGGCCGACGCCAUCGCCGCCACCCCCUCGCCGUAGCCACGCCCUCCGUCAACCCCACGCCGUGCCGCCGUGUCCAGGAGCUCCGCUACCCUCCUCUCCUUCGAGCAAGCCGAGCCCCGAGCGCUCGCAAGGCGCGAGCCCACCGCAUCGACUUCGACCGAACCGCCGUCGCCGGAGAUCCCCUUCAACGCCGACGUCGCUCCGGCCCGUCCCCGGCCGCACCAAGGGCUUCGUCGAACUCCCCGUGAGCUUAGCUAUCUUCCCCUCCCUUCUUUCUUGCUCCCGAGCCGUGUAGAGACCUCCCGAAGCUCAACCGCACCCACCGCCGUGGAGCUCGUCGCCGAUGUGCUCCCGGUCAUCUUCCGGCCACCCCACGGUGUCCAUCAUGCUCACCGCGUCACGUAGCACCUAACUAGCUACUCCCCGCUCCUCACCGACCCCUCUUGCGUCAAGUUCGACUUCGGCCGAACUCCGGUGGCCGCCAAAGUCGGCGCCGGCGCCAACUCCGGCCACCCCGACCCCAACGGACUCCACCAAGAGCUGCAGUUCGUCCUCAGCUCCUCUCCGGUGGCCUCCGCGGCUCGUUUGGUUGCCGGAACGGCAAAAACCACUUCCGCCGCCGCGUCCGGCUCGCCGGCGGCUAAACGCCGGUGCAGCCGACCCAGGUUUGACCACGGGUGGGCCCUGGUUGACUCUCCUGAGUCAAUGAUAGGUGGGGCCGAGCCCUGUUAACUAAUUAGGAUUAGUUUUAAUUAAUUUUAGUUUAGCUAAUCACCCUGACACGCGGGACCCACUGUCAGGUUUGACCCGGACCGUGUCCCGUUGACCUGCUGAUGUCACACUGACGUCAGGCUGAUGCAGUAAUUGAUUUUCUGGAUUUAUUUUAAUAUAGGAAAUUCCAGAAUAUAGAUUAAACUUCAAAAAUUCAUAACUUUUAAUCUGUAACUCCAAAUCAGACAAAUUAUAUAUGAAAAAUGAUCAGAAAAAUCCAAUCUAUCCAUCUGUACUAUUUUCAUGCAUGAUAAAACAAGUUAACUUGUUGUUUAAUGCAGAACAAGGAAAAAACACUUUAAAGGGCCAUGUUUGAGUUUGAAAUUUGAAUCUUUGAUUCAAAUUGGUUCAAACCCUUCUGAUCUUAGUUGCAUUAGCCCAACACACUCAUGUUGCCAUGUUUCAUGCAUGCAUCAUAUUGUUGCACAUUGUUUGGUGAUGGUUGUGUAUCGGUGUUCUUUGCGGCAGGUUCUGUCUCCGAGGAGUACCGUGAUUACCCUAACGAAGAACCGUAUCAGUGCAUCGAACCAUCAGGCAAGCAACCAACCAUUUGAUCAUAUCGAUACAAUCCCAUGUUCUCACUCCUGCUCUCUUUUACUGCAUUAAGACAACGUGUUUCAAACUGCUGUGUGCUAUGGUAGUUGAACCCACUUCCUCUGCAUGACCUGUCAUUGCCACAGUAACUAGAUGAAACCCACUAGCAUGUGUAGGAGUUGAUUGAGCCAUAUGUAUGUGUUGUUCCUACCUUGCUAUGCCUGCUAUGCUUAGAGUCGUGUCAGGUCUGGUUCAUCUGGGUGAUGGGCUAGAGUGAAAUGAUUAUGUCGGUAAUGAGAGUGGUGUGGUGAACACGAUUUGGUAAAGGUAUCGAUGAAAGGCCAUGUAGGAGUACAUGGUGGGUUGUUUCAUUCAAGCCGACCUUAAGCACUGAGAUCUGUAUGUGUGAUUUAAGAUACAGCUACUACCAUGCAUUGGGCGCUGAAAUAUGACCCCGCUCGACUUCUUAUUCACCCUAGUCCUCUGUCCUGGAGUUGCAAGUAGUUUCUGGUGUUUGUAGCCUACUGGAGGCCGUGGACAGCGCUGACUGUAGGGGUGGGCUGUGAUGCGGUAGGUACGUGGCCGGGUAAACCGGGCACCCGUUUGGUGUCACGGAACCCUGUUCACAUCGUUUGGGGCUGUGAGCGAAACUCCGGCCAGAUCUCCUCAUGGAUGGAAUCCGAAUAGGCGAUAAACCUGGACUAGAGACUUAGGUGUUUAGGUAGGUCGUGGUCUACACCCACGUCGGCUUUCGCUUGAAGUCUGCCGAGCACAUGUCGUGUGCAGACGCUAAGUGGUGGAAACAUGUAUGAAGAAGUACACCCCUGCAGGGUUAACAUGAUCUAUUCGAAUAGCCGCGUCUGCGGUGAAGGACUACUUGGUUGCCUAUACAGUUCAUAGACAAGUAAAUGGAAACUACUAAAAGCCUCAAGAUAAGUGUGAGUGCCGAGGAUGGCUCUUCCGUAGGAAGACGGAGGUGGAUCCUCGGUAGUGUAUUGAAGUGGUGAGUAGUGGACUCGUGUACACAAAACCAUUUCAAGUUGGAGUCUCGUAGGAUAGCCUAGCCAAGAGUCAAAGCUGGCUUGCUGCAACAACUCCACCAACCCUUCUUGAUAAUGUGCAUGUAUGUAGGAUCUGAUGUAAGUCUUGCUGAGUACCUUUGUACUCAUGUUGCUAUAAUUUACAUUUUUACAGAAGACGCUGCAACCCCUUCUGAUGGGUUCUUCGUAGACGUUGAAAUCAAUGAGUAGGCUAAGGCCCAGGUGGUGAUCCUGAGCUUGUGAAGGACCACGUAGUAUAGCUAGGCUUUCCAAGCCUCUUUUAUUUUACUAGUUGUCUGUACUCAGACAAGUUACUUCCGCUGCUGGUCUGUAUGACUGUAUGACUUGCAUGCUGGGUCGUGUGACCCGUACCUAUGUGUAUGUUAUGUAUGGCUCUCUGAGCCUUAAAUAAAGUACUUGUGUCGUAGAGUCAUGUUGUGAUGCCUUGUUGUAUUUGCACAUAUCGAGCAUAUUGUGCGUAUGAUUGAAAUGCUUGGUAUGUGUGGGAUCUGACUAUCUAGUUGUUUAUCUUUAGUAGCCUCUCUUACCGGGAAAUGUCUCCUAGUGUUACCACUGAGCCAUGGUAGCUUGCUACUGCUCUAGAACACUUAGGCUGGCCGGCAUGUGUCCUUCUUCGUUCCUGUGUCUGUCCCUUCGGGGAAAUGUCACGCAUUGAGUACCGGAGUCCUGUUAGCCCGCUACAGCCCGGUUUACCGGAGUCCUGCUAGCCCAGUGCUACAGCCCGGACCCACUUGCUGAUGACCGACACGUUCGUUGCUGGGUCAUGGAUGCCUGUCCCUGUAAGUCUGUGCCACUUUGGGUUUACGACUAGUCAUGUCAGCCCGGGCUCCUUAUCAUAUGGAUGCUAGCGGCACUAUCAUAUACGUGAGCCAAAAGGCGCAAACGGUCCCGGGCAAAGGUAAGGCGACACCCGUGGGGAUACCGUGCGUGAGGCCGCAAAGUGAUAUGAGGUGUUACAGGCUAGAUCGAUGUGACAUCGAGUCGGGGUCCUGACAGCGUUGGCAUCAGAGCCGGACUGCCUGUAGGUUUUCCAAGCCAAACUGGUCGAUGUUGAGUCUAGAAAUUCUUUAGUUAUAUGUAGGGGAAUUGUUUGUGGGUUGGAACGUAAGGCUCUUUUUACUCCUUUAUCUUAUGACAUUCUGAUCUGAGUCAGUCUAUUCUUCCACUGGGGGUUAAGGUAUUAGGAUCUAUUCUCUCUAUCAGGAUCACGUGUUACUAAUCAGUAGUACCUUAUAGGUUUGAUGGAUACAAGCCUAGUUCAGUUCUACUACCACAUUAUGUUCUUUGGAUGGACUCAGAACUUUGAUAUGAUGAUGUUGAGUGUGUAUGAAAUCCUUUGUCAAAUGUCUCAAAUCCUUCUUGAGCAUUUACAGCUGUUAUGCUGCCGAAAUUUUGCUAGGAAUUCUAGUGCCUUUGCAUUAUGAUUGUGCUUUCAGAUGGCCACUCGCGACCUCAAUCAAGUGGUUCGCCUGACUCGAUGCCUAGAUGUACCCGGUCAUACCGCCAUGUUGGUCAGGGUAAUGACUGAGGCUGGAUACCGUUGGUAUCCUGAGUACACGGUCGAAGAGCAAUUUCGAGACUUUAAUCAAAGCCAGUAUCUCUGCACUGUCAGGAUAUUUCCAUCUUAUCCUGGAUCCACCGAGCCCCUUCACUGCUCCUAUGGACUCAGGGUUACUAUUGAGAUGGCUGUGCAGGAUGCCGCCUACUCUAUGAUGACCAUCAUGCGAGUCAGGACUGGCCUAUUUCGGGAUUCUGAUUUCCGGUAUAUGCCAGGAUCACUUCCGGGAGCACAAGGGUAUCUCCAGGCUAUCUAUGCUGACCCCACUCAGGAGGAUUCACGGACUCGCACCACUCCUGAGAUGCUCGAAGAUAAGGACCGUGAAAAUCGGGCCUUGAGGCUAGAGCUUUUCACUACUCGUGCUGACCAUUGGGCCACGUUGACUCGGUUUGCACCGGUUGUGCAAGCUGGAUAUUCGGAUAUGCGCGAUCUCUAUCCUGUGAGAUCUGCUCUGCCAGACGUGAUGGGUUGGCGUGAUGUAGGAGGCAUCACCCCACCUCGCGGUCCCCGCAGGCCACCGUCUGUUGGUCCAAGACCUCAUCCUAGCCCCUAUGGUCCUCAAGCUCCGCGGGAUCGUCUAUUCCCGGAUGAUCAUGUUGAGCUUCCAGGCUAUGGAGGUGACUUCUACGAGGACUACUAUGGAUCGGUCUGAGUUAGUGGUAGUAUCACUAGUUCGUACUAGCUGUGUCGUCUAUCGUCCUGCGUGACUCGUGGGAUAUGACCUAGUUUGUACCGCCUUCCGGAGGUGUAGAAAAAUAAUGUAUAGGAGCUUGGGAUGCCUCCGAUGAGAUGUAAUCCUCUUUUCACCGUAAUAGUACCUUGUUUGGUCUUGUACUAAACCUUGUAUGGUGUGUAUGACGAUGGAAUAAAGAAGCAGUUUCUGUAUCUACCAUGUCAUACGGAUGAUCAUCUUGCAUUCCGAGUUACUCCUUACAUUCUGUAUUCUAUGUCGAUAUCUUAUCAUUCUGACUAAAUCAUUGUCUUGUUUACCUAGGAUGUUCAACACGCGCAAUAACCCUGCUCCUCAAGAGCAGGCCGAAGGCAGUGAAGUCAGGAAUGAAAAUCUGCCUCAUCCUCCUUCCCUAGCCGAGGUUAUGAUGGAAGCCAAAAGAAACAAGCAGGAGACCAACCGUUUGUUGGAGCGUAUUGAACAGAACACAGCACACCAUCGGAGGACUAACGUGGUGUCACUCAGUGAUUUCAUCAAGUUACAUCCACCCACGUUCCACCACUCCGUCGAGCCUCUCGACGCUGAUGACUGGCUUCGCAGUAUUUCUCACAAACUGCGCUUCGCGCUAGUAGCCGAGGCUGACAAGGUCACCUUUGCUGCAUAUCAUCUUGAAGGCCCCGCCAGUCUCUCGUGGGAGAAUUAUGGAGCUAUGCACCCAGCGGGCCAUGUCACUACUUGGGCUGAAUUCAGCGAGGCUUUCCGUGAACAUCACAUUCCAGAGGGUCUCAUGGACCGUAAACAUGAGGAAUUUUGCAGUUUCACUCAGGGCCGACUCUCUGUGGAUGCUUAUAGCAGGGAGUUUGGUAACCUUGCACGAUAUGCAACUGAGGAAGUUUCUACUGAUGCUAAGAAGCAAGCAAGGUUCCAUAAGGGACUUAGUCCUGAGCUUCAUCGCGACCUCCGUCUGCAUGAGUGCACAUCUUUUCAGAAGCUUGUUAACAAGGCCAUCAGUGUUGAGACUGGUCAGACUGAUUAUGACGCAACACGCAAGCAUGGCCGUGACGUGGGUUCCUCAUCCGGUGCUGGUCCUCAGAAGCGCCGCGUGUGGGUGCCCAACACUGCCCUGCCACCCAGGUUCACACCGAGGCCAUCCUUCCAGGCGCCUCCCCCCGUUCAACAGUUUGCACCAGCCAAGCCCUAUGGUGGUCCAACCAACAAUGCUCCUCCACUUACCAGUUCCGUGACUUGCUUUAAGUGUGGGGAAUCUGGUCACUAUAUGCGUGAGUGUCCCCAAACCAACCCCAACCAAUCUGCUAAAGCUGUUGUCCGUGGCAAGCCGACAGGUAAAGUGUUCCACGCCAAGCCGGCCACCGCUACACGUGGCCAUGUCAACUGUAUCUCUGCCGAAGAAGCUCAAGAGGAUCCCAACGUCGUUCUCGGUACGCUCCUUGUUAAUUGCCACCCGGCAUCUAUUCUUUUCGAUACAGGAGCAUCUCAUUCAUUUAUAUCCGAGAACUAUGCUCGUUUGCAUAACACCGCAUUCUGUGACAUGCCAUCCACUAUGGAAAUUUCUACUCCUGGUUCUAGAUGGCAAACCUCCAGGGUAAGUUAUGGAAAUGAAAUCCAAGUCGACAGACUUGUUUUCCAUCUUUGAUAGCUCUCAAAUCUUCAGAUAUUAAUAUCAUCUUGGGUAUGGACUGGAUGUCAGCUCAUCAUGCCAAAAUUGAUUGCUUCUCUAGGACUGUUCAACUCACCCAUCCUUCGGGGAAGAUAGUCAAUGUCUUGACCCGAUUAGCCAAGCGACAAUUAUAUUCUCUUAACGCCAGCCCUUUGCCAGACCUUGAGGACGUUCCGGUAGUCCGUGACUUCCCGGAUGUCUUCCCAGAGGAAUUGCCAGGUGUUCCACCUGACAGGGAUGUUGAGUUCAUAAUAGACCUCAUUCCAGGAACCGUUCCGACUGCUAGAAGACCCUAUAAGAUGGCACCACUAGAACUAGCCGAGCUUAAGAAACAACUCGAUGAGUCCUUGAAAAAGGGUUUCAUCCGACCUAGUUCAUCUCCGUGGGCUUGCCCCGUCCUCUUCGUCAAGAAGAAGGAUGGUACGGACCGGAUGGUUGUAGAUUAUCGACCUGUCAAUUUGGUCACAAUCAAGAACAAAUAUCCGCUCCCCAGGAUCAACGACCUGUAUGAUCAGCUCGCUGGAUCCUCAAUCUUCUCCAAAAUGGAUUUGAGGUUGGGCUACCAUCAAAUCAAAAUCAGGAACGGGGACAUUCCUGAAACGGCCUUUGUUACUCGUUAUGGCCAAUACGAGUACACCGUCAUGUCCUUCGGUUUAACCAACGCUCCAGCCACCUUUUCUCGGUUAAUGAACUCAAUCUUCAUGGAGUAUUUGGAUAAAUUCGUCGUUGUUUACCUCGAUGAUAUACUCAUCUACUCCAAGAACGAGGAAGAACAUGCCGAACAUCGAAGGCUAGUGUUGAAGAAACUUCGAGAGCAUUGCCUUUAUGCCAAGUUUUCUAAAUGUGAGUUUUGGUUGUCAGAAGUGACCUAUCUGGGUCAUGUAAUAUCUGGUAAAGGUAUUGCUGUUAACCCUGAGCGAGUUCAAGCCGUCCUUAAUUGGACUCCACCUGAAUCAGUCAAGCAAGUUCGGAGUUUUCUGGGCUUAGCGAGCUAUUGCCGUCGCUUUGUCGAAAAUUUCUCCAAAGUUGCUAAACCUCUAACCGAACUCCUCAAGAAGGAUAAAAAGUUCGAAUGGACUCCACAAUGUGAGCACAGCUUUCAGGAACUGAAAAGACGCCUGACUUCUGCUCCCGUACUUGUACCGCCAGACUUCUCUAAGGACUUUGUUAUCUACUGUGACGCCUCGCGACAAGGACUAGGCUAUAUUCUCAUGCAAGAUCGACAUGUAAUUGCUUACGCUUCACGGCAAUUGCACCCACAUGAGGAGAAUUAUCCUACUCAUGAUCUAGAGCUUGCAGCUGUAGUCUAUGCACUUAAAACCUGGCGACAUUACCUUCUCGGUAAUCAUUGCGAAAUAUUCACUGAUCACCCAAGUCUGAAGUACAUCUUCACCCAACCGGAUUUGAAUCUCAGGCAAAGACGUUGGGUCGAGUUGAUCACAGAUUUCGACUUAGGAAUAACUUACACCCCAGGGAAAGCCAACGUCAUGGCUGAUGCGCUAAGUCGUAAAUCUUAUUGUAACAACCUGAUGUUACAACAAAGUCAACCGCUUCUCCAUGAGGAAUUUCGGAAGCUUAAACUUCACAUUGUUCCUCAAGGAUUUCUUUCCACCUUGGUGGCGAAACCUACUCCUACGGAUCAAAUUAUCGCUGCCCAAAAGCGAGAUAAGGGAAUAUCUAAAAUCAAGGAGAACAUUGCUAGCGGAGGUGCUAGUUGUUUCUCCACAAAUGAUCAUGGUGUUGUGUACUUUGAGAACCGUUUAGUGGUUCCCAAGAACGAGCAUCUACGGCAGUUGAUCCUUAAGGAGGCUCAUGAAUCUCCUCUCACCAUUCAUCCCGGUAGUACCAAGAUGUAUCAGGACCUACGCCAGAGGUUCUGGUGGACUAGGAUGAAGAGAGAAAUUGCUCAUUACAUUGCUAAUUGCGACGUCUGCCGUCGUGUAAAAGCAGAGCAUCAACGGCCUGCUGGCACCCUUCAACCCUUAGCUAUUCCUGAAUGGAAAUGGGAUAAAAUUGGUAUGGAUUUCAUUACCGGUUUUCCCAGGACCAAGAGAGGGAAUAAUGCUAUCUUCGUCGUUGUCGAUCGUCUUUCCAAAGUGGCCCAUUUCUUACCUAUUCGUGAGAGUAUAACCGCUAGCCAGUUGGCAGACUUAUACAUCUCCCGAAUCGUGUCUCUCCAUGGUGUUCCUUUGGAAAUUAACUCGGAUCGAGGAAGUCUUUUCAACUCUCGAUUUUGGGAAAGUUUCCAAAAUGCUAUGGGAACCCGCCUUUCCUUUAGCACCGCUUUUCACCCUCAAUCGAGUGGUCAAGUAGAACGCGUCAACCAGAUCCUAGAAGACAUGCUUCGAGCCUAUGUUAUCUCAUUCGGAAUGGAGUGGGAGAAAUGCCUUCCAUUUGCCGAAUUCGCUUACAACAACAGCUAUCGAUCUAGCUUGGGUAAAGCCCCUUUUGAAGUUCUCUAUGGACGACGGUGUCGAACACCCCUUAACUGGUCAGAAACCGGGGAAAGACAAUUCUUUCGCCCGGAUAUGAUUCAGGAAGCAGAAGAGCAAGUUCGCAACGUUCGUGAAAAGUUGAAAACAGCCCAAUCUCGUCAAAAGAGUCAGUAUGACCGAAAACAUAAGGCCAUGACUUUCGAGGUUGACGAGAAAGCUUACCUUCGGGUUACUCCUCUGAAGGGGACCCAUCGUUUCGGUAUCAAAGGCAAAUUGGCUCCUCGUUACAUUGGACCUUUCCGUAUUCUCGCUAAACGAGGAGAAGUUGCCUACCAGUUGGAACUACCUCCACAUCUCUCCAGAGUCCACGAUGUUUUCCACGUUUCUCAACUCAGGCGUUGCUUCUCGGAUCCUAUCCGUGGAGUGGACCACGAAACGCUUGAUCUCCAAGAUAAUCUCACGUAUCGAGAGUACCCCAUUCGUAUCCUCGAUCAGGCCGAGCGUACCACUCGACGUCAUAAUAUCAAGUUUCUCAAAGUUCAAUGGUCGCACCAUUCUGAGGAUGAAGCAACUUGGGAAAGGGAGGAUCGUCUUCGACUCGAGUAUCCCACCCUUUUUCCGGAGGAACCCAAAUCUCGGGACGAGAUUCUUUUGAGUGGGGGUGAGUUGUCACACCCUAGCUAGUUCAUGCAUUAGAGUGUUGCAUCAUGUUUAUUCUUUCAUCAGAAACCUGAAAUGGGGAUGACAGAACCCCCAGCCCCCUCUGAAACCAAUUAGGGUUUACUAAAAAACUUUUUCAAUGAACCUGAAAUUCCCUUCUAAAAUGCCCAUCAUUUUUGUCUUGGUUCAGAUCCUCUUCCAAAAGUGAUGCACAUUUUCCUAGGCCAUCUUAGGGUUUUUGAAUUAAAUCAUAAAUAUUUGAAUUUGGGCAUUUAAAAUUAUAUAAAAGAUUUAAAUGCUCAAAUAUCUCCAAACUAAAAUGUUUCAUGUUGGAAAUAAUCCAACUAUGGACCAGGAGUAGUUUGGUGAUUUUAGGAGUUGCCUAAGUAUUUUUAAUAAAUCAACAAAGUUGCAGAAGUAUUAAAAAACAGAGAACAGUAAAAAUAGAAAAACUUACCUGGCGCCAGCACUCGGCCCACCUGCCGGCCCAGCCCAGCGCCGCUCCAGCGAGCUGCUUGCCGGCCAGGCAGGCAGGCAGGUGCCCGACGGCGACCACAGCGCGCGCCACACAGCUGGCUGCCGCCCUGCUCCACCUCCUCGCCUCGGGGCUGGAUGGAUGAGCUCUACGCAGUGCCGUGAACCCGCAGGACACCUCCAUUCUCCCCCAACCCCUCUCUCUCGCGCUCCGCCGCCAUGGCCGACGCCAUCGCCGCCACCCCCUCGCCGUAGCCACGCCCUCCGUCAACCCCACGCCGUGCCGCCGUGUCCAGGAGCUCCGCUACCCUCCUCUCCUUCGAGCAAGCCGAGCCCCGAGCGCUCGCAAGGCCCGAGCCCACCGCAUCGACCUCGACCGAACUGCCGUCGCCGGAGAUCCCCUUCAACGCCGACGUCGCUCCGGCCCGUCCCCGGCCGCACCAAGGGCUUCGUCGAACUCCCCGUGAGCUUAGCUAUCUUCCCCUCCCUUCUUUCUUGCUCCCGAGCCAUGUAGCAACCUCCCGAAGCUCAACCGCAACCACCGCCGCGGAGCUCGUCGCCGACAUGCUCCCGGUCAUCUUCCGGCCACCCCACGGUGUCCAUCAUGCUCACCGCGUCACGUAGCACCUAACUAGCUACUCCCCGCUCCUCACCGACCCCUCUUGCGUCAAGUUCGACUUCGGCCGAACUCCGGUGGCCGCCAAAGUCGUCGCCGGCGCCAACUCCGGCCACCCCGACCCCAACGGACUCCACCAAGAGCUGCGGUUCGUCCUCAACUCCUCUCCGGUGGCCUCCGCGGCUCGUUUGGUUGCCGGAACGGCAAAAACCACUUCCGCCGCCGCGUCGGGCUCGCCGGCGGCUAAACGCCGGUGCAGCCGACCCGGGUUUGACCACGGGUGGGCCCUGGAUGACUCUCCUGAGUCAAUGACAGGUGGGGCCCAGCCCUGUUAACUAAUUAGGAUUAGUUUUAAUUAAAUUUAGUUUAGCUAAUCACCCUGACACGCGGGACCCACUGUCAGGUUUGACCCGGACCAUGUCCCGUUGACCUGCUGAUGUCACACUGACGUCAGGCUGAUGCAGUAAUUGAUUUUCUGGAUUUAUUUUAAUAUAGGAAAUUCCAGAAUAUAGUUUAAACUUCAAAAAUUCAUAACUUUUAAUCUGUAACUCCAAAUCAGACAAAUUAUAUAUGAAAAAUGAUCAGAAAAAUCCAAUCUAUCCAUCUGUACUAUUUUCAUGCAUGAUUAAACAAGUUAACUUGAUGUUUAAUGCAGAACAAGGAAAAAACACUUUAAAGGGCCAUGUUUGAGUUUGAAAUUUGAAUCUUUGAUUCAAAUUUGUUUUAACCCUUCUGGUCUUAGUUGCAUUAGCCGAACACACUCAUAUUGCCAUGUUUCAGGCAUGCAUCAUAUUGUUGCACAUUGUUUGGUGAUGGUUGUGUAUCGGUGUUCAAUGCGGCAGGUUCUGUCUCCGAGGAGUACCGUGAUUACCCUAACGAAGAACCGUAUCGGUGCAUCGAACCAUCAGGCAAGCAACCAACCAUUUGAUCAUAUCGAUACAAUCCCAUGUUCUCGCUCCUGCUCUCUUUUACUGCAUUAAGACAACGCGUUUCAAACUGCUGUGUGCUAUGGUAGUUGAACCCACUUCCUCUGCAUGACCUGUCAUUCCCACAGUAACUAGAUGAAACCCACUAGCAUGUGUAGGAGUUGAUUGAGCCAUAUGUAUGUGUUGUUCCUACCUUGCUAUGCCUGCUAUGCUUAGAGUCGUGUCAGGUCUGGUUCAUCUGGGUGAUGGGCUAGAGUGAAAUGAUUAUGUCGGUAAUGAGAGUGGUGUGGUGAACACGAUUUGGUAAAGGUAUCGAUGAAAGGCCAUGUAGGAGUACAUGGUGGGUUGUUUCAUUGAAGCCGACCUUAAGCACUGAGAUCUGUAUGUGUGAUUUAAGAUACAGCUACUACCAUGCAUUGGGCCCUGAAAUAUGACCCCGCUCGACUUCUUAUUCACCCUAGUCCUCUGUCCAGGAGUUGCAAGUAGUUUCUGGUGUUUGUAGCCUACUAGAGGCCGUGGACAGUGCUGACCGUAGGGGUGGGCUGUGAUGCGGUAGGUACGUGGCCGGGUAAACCGGGCACCCGUUUGGUGUCACGGAACCCUGUUCACAUCGUUUGGGGCUGUGACCGAAACUCCGGCCGGAUCUCCUCAUGGAUGGAACCCGAAUAGGCGAUAAACCUGGACUAGAGACUUAGGUGUUUAGGUAGGUCGUGGUCUACACCCACGUCGGCUUUCGCUUGAAGUCUGCCGAGCACAUGUCGUGUGCAGAUGCUAAGUGGUGGAAACAUGUAUGAAGAAGUACACCCCUGCAGGGUUAACAUGAUCUAUUCGAAUAGCCGCGUCCGCGGUGAAGGACUACUUGGUUGCCUAUACAGUUCAUAGACAAGUUAAUGGAAACUACUAAAAGCCUCAAGAUAAGUGUGAGUGCCGAGGAUGGAUCUUCCGUAGGAAGAUGGAGGUGGAUCCUCGGUAGUGUAUUGAAGUGGUGAGUAGUGGACUCGUGUACGCAAAACCAUUUCAAGUUGGAGUCUCGUAGGAUAGCCUAGCCAAGAGUCAAAGCUGGCUUGCUGCAACAACUCCACCAACCCUUCUUGAUAAUGUGCAUGUAUGUAGGAUCUGAUGUAAGUCUUGCUGAGUACCUUUGUACUCAUGUUGCUAUAAUUUACAUUUUUACAGAAGACGCUGCAACCCCUUCUGAUGGGUUCUUCGUAGACGUUGACAUCAAUGAGUAGGCUAAGGCCCAGGUGGUGAUCCUGAGCUUGUGAAGGACCACGUAGUAUAGCUAGGCUUUCCAAGCGUCUUUUAUUUUACUAGUUGUCUGUACUCAGACAAGUUACUUCCGCUGCUGGUCUGUAUGACUGUAUGACUUGAAUGCUGGGUCGUGUGACCCGUACCUAUGUGUAUGUUAUGUAUGGCUCUCUGAGCCUUAAAUAAAGUACUUGUGUCGUAGAGUCAUGUUGUGAUGCCUUGUUGUAUUUGCACAUAUCGAGCAUAUUGUGCGUAUGAUUGAAAUGCUUGGUAUGUGUGGGAUCUGACUAUCUAGUUGUUUAUCUUUAGUAGCCUCUCUUACCGGGAAAUGUCUCCUAGUGUUACCACUGAGCCAUGGUAGCUUGCUACUGCUCUGGAACACUUAGGCUGGCCGGCAUGUGUCCUUCUUCGUUCCUGUGUCUGUCUCUUCGGGGAAAUGUCACGCAUUGAGUACCGGAGUCCUGUUAGCCCGCUACAGCCCGGUUUACCGGAGUCCUGCUAGCCCAGUGCUACAGCCCGGACCCACUUGCUGAUGACCGACAAGUUCGUUGCUGGGUCAUGGAUGCCUGUCCCUGUAAGUCUGUGCCACUUUGGGUUUACGACUAGUCAUGUCAGCCCGGGCUCCUUAUCAUAUGGAUGCUAGCGGCACUAUCAUAUACGUGAGCCAAAAGGCGCAAACGGUCCCGGGCAAAGGUAAGGCGACACCCGUGGGGAUACCGUGCGUGAGGCCGCAAAGUGAUAUGAGGUGUUACAGGCUAGAUCGAUGUGACAUUGAGUCGGGGUCCUGACAUCAGGACUCCGUUUUUCUUCCGUUUGCUUGUUUCCCAAGAUAAAAACUCUUUAUAUACUGCCCUGAACCUAUUGACCGCACAAAGGACAAGGGUCGUGUUCUCCGUCUCCUCCGGUCGCUUCGCCUCUCGGAUCCUCCGCUCUUUCCCCUCGGCAGCUACACCAAUCACAACACAACAUCAGGGAUAAGGAAAAAAAUGCAUGCGUCUAAUGAAAGCGACAUUUCCAUCAGUUCUACUAAUUUGUCACCAACUUCCUGGAAAUAUGAGAUAAUUGAAGGAAAUACAAAUAUAGGCUAUCCUAGGCGGCAAAGUGUUUGGCAUGCCAUCAUUUGAUACUAGUGGCACAAGCCAUUUAUUUUAACUGGGUUAUUUGCGUAUCAAGGCAUUUUUUGUAUAGCUAUAGGUUUUAUAUAGCAUUUAUUAGGACCGAGCAGAGCAUACCUUAAACGCAGCAACGCCGAUCAACAGCAGGAACAAACCACACAGAUACAUGCUAUUUCCUUGAUCACAGUAGCCAACCUUCACAGCACCUGGAAGAGAAACAUUAAAAUAUGGGUCCAUAAAUCAACAUGGGUUUACGGCCUAUAUGCAUCCACACACACUCGUCAGAAAAGUAGAGAUAACUAAUUAGUAAUUGCUCCUCUUAACUUCUGUAGAACAUAACAAACAAGAGCUCCUCUUAACUAAUUAGUAAUUGAUCAAGUAGAACCUAACACCAACUCAUAAUAUGUCAAGUACAGAAGCAAUUCCUUUGAACAAAACACAUAAGAAAAAAGAGCAAAAGAAAAGAAAGCGUAAGUCUAUCGAUGAUCCAACACUGACAUAUGUUUUUGUCACUAAAUCUGCUGCAACACACUAAUAUGCAAGAACAGCAGAUGCACAAAGUCAUCUCAUACCAAGUGAAGAUAAUAUGACAAGUAGGGAGCAACCAGCGGUGCUACACAUGCAGCAAGCUUUGCCCGUCUGCAUAACAGAAUAUACUUCGUCAUUUAUAUGUCUUAGCAUAGUAUAAUACUGCACAUACAGCAAAAAAACAAGCACCACGAACCUCCUGGAUAAACAACAGAAACAACCAAGAAGCACUCAGUUUUCAAUUCAUCAAAGGACUAAAAAUAUAAAACUUUGCAUGCAGAAAAAUUGACUCCCAUGCAUUGCAAAACUAACCAAAUUCUGAAUCCAUUUACAGGUGAGGAACACAAAAAAAUUCCUAGUAAAGUAUACUACUGAAAUAAGUGCUUUGAAACAUAGAAUUUUGGAGCUGCACAAAAGAUGCAGCUGAAGAGGACACCCCUAAAUGAAAACAUCAAGCUAAAAAAUUAAGCUAGCAAACCAGUCUGACCUAUUAGAUAUCCCACAUGGACAGUAGCACCUAAAUAUUGAGG